CGGAAGGCCCUUUUCAGGGCCAUACAGUUUCAAAUACAGUUCUGU
rfam:Stegodyphus mimosarum contig53435, whole genome shotgun sequence.